ensembl:lncRNA
AGGCACCACUGUACAGUUUUCUAGGGAAAGUCGUUCUGCUGACACCAAAACACGGCUUUACAUAAAGCAUAUCAGCUGUUUCAAAGUCCCAACCAUUUGUCUUCCUAAAAUACUGGUCCUUCCGUAUAACAAUAACCUUGUAUGUGAUUGGAGGACCCUUAGACUCCUCGUCCAAUCACGUGUGAGGUCAUAGGCAUGACUCAGCCAGCAGUACUUGCAAGACGAGCAUACAAACAGUGUGUUACUAUAGUCAGAAGAACUGUAUUUCCAGUUCCUUUGUUUGGUUUUUGCUGCUUCGUGAAUAAUGGCGGGACGACGUCUCGCGUUCAACUCGCCUUCAACUCCUCUCCGCGGUCACCAACUUUCGGCCAGUCCGCAGACAGACGAGAAGAAACUGCUGAAAGCUCUCAGUGGAUCGUCUCGUCAACGCCAACAACAAACUGCCGAUAUCAACGAGCGGUUCGCUCCACUGGAGCGUUCGGGACUCUGCGGGUUUGUGUCCAUCGAGGAGAGGAACCGACUCAAAGAAGAGGAGACGGGCGCACGAUCCCAAGAUAGCGGAAGCGGUGCGCCGUCUUCACAACUCCGAGACGAAUUACAGGCGCUACGAACCGGAGCAUGGACUAAUCUCGCCUCAUAAUGAGGCGGUGACCUCGUAUUUGCUCCGGGAAAAGUCCAGAUUUUGUCAGGGUUGGGGGUGGAAGGCAGGACUCAGACGCAGAGUUCAACAGGAACACAAAGGACUUUAAUAGUCAAUGGUCAAAAAACACAGGAACCGGGAGGAAAAACAGCAGGCAACAUGUGUGACGAAAGACAAUGACGCGACAAGUGACCCAGGAGACACACGGCUUAAAUAUACAAGGGAGGUGCAGGUGAUUGGACACAGGUGGAAACUAUUAGACGAUCACAGGGGAUGACGGGACAAGGCAGGAAGUGAAGUUACCCGGGGACACGAGUGGCAGAAAACUACAAAAUACAACAGGAAGUGAAACCACACCGUGACA